UGCUCGGCCCCAGGGGCGCUGCCCGCGCGCGCUCUGCGGUGCAGGAGCGGAGAGCAGCGCGGUUUCUCCCGCCGCUCCAUUUAAUGGCUCUCGGCGCACUUUCGCAUCCGAGCUCCUAACUGGCGAGAGGCUUGUGGGCGGAAAGGCCUGGCGUUCCAAGGCUGAGGGGAAGCCCUGGCCUGAGGGUGCCCAGCGGGGGGCGCUGUGCCGGCUGGCGGCAGCGCUCCCUCUGCCCAGGAUCCAGGGCUGUGUUCUUACUCUCGGGAGGAGACCUUUGUCAGGACCCUGGGCUUAUAACGGGCCGCGGAGUCAUCAGAGUCCAGGAUCAAGGCAAAAAUCAAGAAAACUGGCGAUAGCCAGGAUUCAUUGCAUGACAACAGCAUCUUAGAUGUCUGACCAAGCUUUAAGCCCUCCACAGCACCUGCUUCAGUCACCUUCAUGGCCAUUGGAAAAAAAUGUUCUCAUCUGCCCAUUCCUCUGGGGAAGUCUUCACGUGCUUGGGACAGACAUUGUGCAAUUCACAGACAGGUUUGAAGCCUGUCAAUUACUUUCAACCUGGUUUAGCCAUUUUCCUUGGGAUGUGGGCACUGCACCUGCUUCUUGGAGCCACAGGUACCCCAUAUCUAGAUCUCAUCAGGAGGGACACUGCCAUAUUAAAGAGAACUUGGAGGAUGGUGAGUAAAAUGAUAAGAAGAGUCUGGGAAUCAUGUCACACGAAGAAUGCCAGAAUGAGGUGGACUUCUUUAAUUUUGAGAAGGAUUAGGGGUCACAUAAAAGUUCUCUUCAGACACUUGAAUAAUUAAGACAAGGAAAAGGGAGUAAACUUAAAUCACUCUUUCUUUAGGGGGCAGAACUGAACAAAUGUAUGAGAAUUCUAGGGAGGCAGCUUGGGAUUGAAUAGUAAAAAUAACUUUAUAACAGUUAAAGUUCCUAAGAGUUAGAAUUUGCUGCUCCUCAGAGAAAUGUGUUCCCAGUCUCUGGAAAUGUUCAGAAAGAGGCUAAAUGACUUCUAUGUCAGGAAGAUUGUAGAAGGAAUUCUUACAUGGGUAAAAGAUUAGAUUGAAUGACUUUCAAAGUUGUGUGAAACAGGAUUCUAUGAUCUUUGGAGCAGCUUUGGGGUGGAUCGGUGAUUGGGAAAGUGUCAGAGUACUCUAAUUUCUUAUCCCAUCCUGUCAGUUAGAAUGUAGGAAAGUAGAGACGUGAAACUUCUGUAUAAGUCAAAUGAAUGCAUAAAGGAUAAGAAAGGAAAUAAUGUUUGGACCCACUCCUGAUACUUUCCCUUUUGUAUCUUUCUCCGCUUCUGAUUGUCAGCUCCACCUUCUUUCUCUGGCAGUUUACAAAGGACCUAGGAACAAUGACUGCCUAAGAGGGACAGCAAGUAAAGCCUAAAGCCAAGAUUUGGGAGUCAAAAAACCCUGGGGUCUGCUUCCCUUUCUGCCCACUACUUGUGUGACUAAUGAAUCAGCUUAUCUCCUAAGUUUUCUUACCUGUCAGGAGCACAUUUUGAUACAUUGUAUUUAUGUUGCCACUAUAGCCAUACAUGUACAUAUUAAUACAUUGUAAUUAUAAUCGUGUUCCAUUCCAUUAUCAUAUUAUAAUUUUUCAACUAUUCCCCAAUUGAUGGGCAUCUCUUCUAUUUCAAGUUCUUGGUGCUAUUUAAAAAGAGGUUUUCUACAGAAAAGAUCUUCUCUUUGAACUCUUUAAAAUAUGUCAAGGAGGGGCGAUGCUGGUUCAAAGCGUAUGUAUAGUCUAAUAAUUUUUUUCCCUAAAUCAUACUUUCCAGUGAUGUUCUAGAGUGGCUGCUACAUCCAGCUACAUCAGUGGUGCAUUCCUGUGCCUACUUUGCAAACCUUCCAGCAUUUCUCUUUCCUUUUCUGUCAACUUUGCCCGUUGCAUAAGUAGACAGUAAAACCAUAAAAUUGCUUUAAUUUUUUCUAAUGAAUAAUAUCUAGGAGUGUUUUUCACAAAACUAUUAAUAAAAUUACUCACUCAUAUCCUUUGACAAUUUAUCACUUGAGAAUGGCUUUUAACUAUAUAAAUUUGAAUGUUAGAAAUAAGAGCUAUCAGAAAAAUUUGAUAGGAUGAUUUCCUCAGUGUCUUUCUCCUCUUCCUAUUUUUAGCUGCAAUAAUUUCUUAACUAUGUGUAAUAAAAAAAAUGUCUACUUAACCUUCUGUGAUUCUCUCUAUUCCUUGUUAAGUCAGGAACUCAUCCCCUUUCCAUAGGUCAGAAAGGUAAUUUCUUCCUUCCUCAGUUCAUUCUUUUUAUUUAUUCCAUAGAGUCAUCUGGAGCUUGUCCUAUUAUGCGAUAUGAGGCAUUGGUCCAGACCUAAUUUCUGCCAGACUGCUUCCCAGUGUUUGCUGAAAACUUAAUUCUUAUUCCAGUAGCUGCUGUCCUUAGGUUUGUUCGUUGUUUCUCUAUGAUUGUACCUAAUCUCUGCCUCUGACAGAACCAGUAAAAAAAAGUCACUUUUUAUGUUUAUUAUUUUUAUUUUUUCAAUAGUAUUUUAUUUUUCCAAAUAUAUGUAAAGAUAGUUUUCAACAUACAUUUUGGGAAAACUUUGUGUUCCAAACUUUUCUUCCUCCCUCCAUAACUUCGCCCUAUCCCCCAAAAUCUGAUCUAGAUUAAAUCUGGGAAAUGCUUUUAAGCAUAUUUCCAUAUUUGUCAUGUUGUGCAAGAAAAAUCAGAUCAAAUGAGAAAAAAGCCACAAGAAACAAAAAGAAGCACACAAAUCACAAAAACAAAAAAAAAGAGAACACUAUGAUUCAAUCCACAAUCAGUCUCCCUAGUUUUAUCUCUCAGUGCAUGGCAUUUUCCAUCCGAAGUCUUUUAGAAUUGACUUGAAUCACUACUUUAGUGAAAAGAACCAGGUUUAUCAGUUAAUCAUCACAGAAUCUUGUUGUUUAUGUGUACAAUGUUCUUUUGGCUCUGUUCACUUUACUCAGCAUCAGUUCAUGUGAGUCUUUCCAACUUUCCUGAAAGCAACCUGCUCAUCAUUUCUUAUACAGCUAUAAUAUUAUAUUCAUAUACCAUAACUUAUUCAACCAUUUUUCAAGUGAUGGGCAUCCACCCAAUUUUCAGUUACUUGCCACUACAAAAAGGGUUGCUACAAACGUAAUUUCAUAAUUUUCUCUAGUUCUAGUUCUCUAGUUUAACAAUUAAUUUUUGCCCUGGAUCAGUCCAUUUUGAAAGCACUAAGAGCUUGCAAGACUCUAUCUUGAGUUGACCCUCUCUUGAGUUAUCUGGAAUUAAAACAGCUGAGUUCCAGCAAGACAAUCUCUGACCUAAUAUCCAGAAAUGUAUAGAGCCCAACAAAAAGAACAUCGAAUUAGUUCUCUCUUUCUCACCUUUAUGUUCACUCUUUAAAAAAUGAUUUAUUGAUUAGUACACACACAGAGCUAUGCAGUGACUCAGAAUA